AACGAACGCUGGCGGCAGGCCUAACACAUGCAAGUCGAACGCCGUAGCAAUACGGAGUGGCAGACGGGUGAGUAACACGUGGGAACGUACCCUUCGGUUCGGGAUAACUCAGGGAAACUUGAGCUAAUACCGGAUACGUCCGAGAGGAGAAAGAUUUAUUGCCGAGGGAUCGGCCCCGCGUCUGAUUAGCUUGUUGGUGAGGUAACGGCUCACCAAGGCGACGAUCAGUAGCUGGUCNGAGAGGAUGAUCAGCCACAUUGGGACUGAGACACGGCCCAAACUCCUACGGGAGGCAGCAGUGGGGAAUAUUGGACAAUGGGCGCAAGCCUGAUCCAGCCAUGCCGCGUGAGUGAUGAAGGCCCUA
rnacentral:rRNA from 1 species